CUUUUAUUACUACUUUUAUUACUACUUGUAUUGCAAUUGUUUUUUCUGUUUUUUAUACCGUUGUUACCUUUUUUUUAUGAUAUAUUUUCAUCCUUUUUCAAUUUUUUUAUUUUUCAAUUUUUAUUUUUCAAUUUUUAUUUUUCAAUUUUUAUUUUUCAAUUUUUAUUUUUCAAUUUUUAUUUUUUAUUUUUUCUUCUAAUAUAGAAUGAAAAGAAAAGCAUAGAGGAAAUUGUUUUUUUUUUCAGUCACCGCCUUUUUCUCUCAUUCAUUAUACACAUAUGUAAUAUAUGUACUAUUUCUUUACACUCACUACUCUUUAUUUCAUGCCAAACAAACUGAUAGAGCUUCCUAGUAGCGCUUUAUAUAAAAACAUAUUGUUUAUUUUCUUGGAAAAGAAACGAAAUACGUUAUACUAACGCCAUCAUCCAACAUACCCCCUGGUAUACUAACCAACAGCUUAGUUUUAUUUUUUGUUUUAAAAUAAUGCCAGAAAAACCCCUCACUUUUACAAACGCUUCUGAAGCAUUCGAAUACAUUAAAGACGAGAAAAACAAUAUACAGUUGGUAGCUUGCAUUAUUACAAAUGUGUUAGGUCAGUUUUUUAAAUGUUUUUUUGAUGUAUAUGAGAUAUCAUUAAAUAAGUUAAAGAAUGGUUUUUCUUUUGAUGCGUCUUCUAUAAAACUUUAUGCUGACACAGGGGUUAGUGAUUUUUGUAUGAAGAUAGAUUUUGAAACUUGCUUUCUAGAAACAAGUAACGGUACUAACGUGUUAAAUUUUUUGUGUUAUGUGAAAAAUUAUAAUGGAUAUGAUUAUUAUAAAUGCCCAAGAACAAUUAUAAAAAAUGCAUGUUUAUUUAUGAAAAAAGAAGGUAUAGCUGAUAAUGUAUACAUAGGUAAUGAAAUUGAAUUUUUUAUUUUUGAUAAAAUAAAAUAUAACUUAGAUGAUUAUAAUAUGUAUCUUAAGAUAUAUGAUAGAGAGUCUUAUAAUUGUAAACAUGAAUUAAAUGAGUUAUAUGAACAAAAACAGUUGAAUAAUUAUAUAAAAGAUAAAAAUAGUUCUUGCCUUUUUAAUGGUAAUGUCAAAAAUAGUAGUCACAGCCAACAUGAUAAUAAUACUACAUUAAUUUAUGGUAAACCUCUUUUUACAAAUAUAUGUUUAACUGAUAAUGAUGGUAAAAAAAUAAAAAAGAAAAGUGGCUAUUUUAGUGCUGACCCUUGUGAUACUUCUAAUACUAUUAAAAUUCAAAUAUGCUGUAAAUUAAAAAAUUAUAAUAUAAGCGUAGAAAAAUAUCAUCAUGAAGUUUCUACUAGCCAACAUGAAAUCUCAUUAAAAUAUCAUACUGCACAAAAAAAUGCUGAUGUUUUACUUAUAACUAAACAAGUAAUAAAAGAAACGGUAAAUAGUUUUAAUAGAAUAGUUACAUUUAUGCCCAAGCCUUUAAUGCAUGAAAAUGGAAAUGGUUUACAUUGUAACAUAUCAUUGUGGAAAAAUGGUAAUAAUAUUUUUUAUCAAAAUGAUUCUUCUACUUUUUUUUUAUCGAAAGAAGCUUUUUAUUUUAUGAAUGGUAUUGUUAAACAUGCAAAAUCAUUACAAGCAUUUUGUAAUGCUACCAUAAACUCAUAUAAAAGAUUAGUACCUGGUUUUGAAACGUGUCAAAAAUUAUUUUAUUCAUUUGGUUCUAGAAAUGCUGUUAUUAGGUUACCACUAAUUAAUUAUAAUAAUUCUACAGAAAAAAGAAUAGAAUUUAGAUUGCCUGAUUAUUCUAAUUCACCACAUUUAGUUCUAGCCGCUAUUAUUUUAGCUGGAUAUGAUGGAAUGAAAACUAAAGAACCGCCAUUAGUACCUUUAGAAUGUAUAAAUGAUGAUUUUCAUAUUUCUAAUAUAUUUAAAAAUUAUGUCAAACCACCAUAUACAUUUGAAACUACUAAUCAUGCCCUAAAAGAUUAUCAUAAGUUUCAUGAUUUAAAAUAUAAUCAAGAGUUUACUGACUUUUUUAAAAGCCAAGAACCUGAAUGUAUUUCCUUUUCAAUGGAAGAAAGUUUGGACGCUCUUGAAAAAGAUCAUGAUUUUUUGUUGGUUGACAAUAUUUUUUCAGAGGUUAGGCUUGUUUUUGCAGUGUCUGUAUUUGUGUGUACGUUUGUCUGUAGUAUGUACGUAUACACAACAUAUAUUUGUUAUUGUGUCUUAUAUAUUAAACCAUGUUUCAUAGCUGUAUUACAUUUUUAUUUCAUGAUAAACCAACGCGUAUACUAUGUAUUGUAUACAGGCUUAUGUCUACAUAACAUUUUGCUUUGUCACAUUUAUAUAUAUAUAUAUAUAUAUAUAUAUAUAUUUUUUUUUUUUUUUUUUUUAUCAAGGAACUGAUACAAGAAUAUAUAGCAUAUAAAAGAAAAGAGAUAUAUGAAUAUAAAAAAGUUGUUACUCCGUAUGAUUUUUUCAUGUAUUUUGACAGUUAAAAGUGUGCUAAUUUUUAUUAGAUCGUGUCGUGUUAUGUCAUAUUAUGUAUGUCAUGUUAUGUCAUGUUAUGUUGUGUGUGUGUGUUUUUUUUUUUUUUUUUUUUUCUGAUUUUACUAUUUAUUAAUACUGGGGUAAUUUUUUGCUUCAUUUAAUAAUGCCGCAUUAUAUAUGAUAUAAGUAUAUACGUAUAUGUUAAUUUAUAUGUGUCUGCAUUUAUAUUUUAAUGAAGUUUAUUAUAAAUGAUUAAAAAAAAAACAAAUUAAUUAUAAAAAAAAAAAGUAAAAAUUUAAUUACAUAAAAAAUCAAAUAAGCAUCAAGAAUUAAAAUUGUUAAUAACGAAAUUUUUUUUUUUACUAUAUAUUACCUUUUUUUUCGAACGAA
ensembl:lncRNA